AGAGUUUGAUCCUGGCUCAGGGUUAACGCUGGCGGCGUGCCUUAUACAUGCAAGUCGAGCGAGGGCUCAUUUCCCGCAAGGGAGGUGGGUUCCUAGCGGCGAACGGGUGAGUAGCACGUGGGCAACCUGUCCUUUCGUGGGGGAUAACACCGAGAAAUCGGUGCUAAUACCGCAUGUCGUCGCCGAAGGCAUCUUCGGCGAACAAAGCAGCGAUGCGCGAGAGGGUGGGCCCGCGGCCUAUCAGCUUGUCGGUGGGGUAACGGUCUACCGAGGCUCUGACGGGUAGCUGGUCUGAGAGGACGACCAGCCACACGGGGACUGAGACACGGCCCCGACUCCUACGGGAGGCAGCAGUAAGGAAUCUUCCGCAAUGGGCGCAAGCCUGACGGAGCGACGCCGCGUGUGGGAUGAAGUCUCUCGGGAUGUAAACCACUGUCGGAGGGGAAGAG
rnacentral:rRNA from 1 species